UGGAUUGGUGCCUUCGGGAACUCUGACACAGGUGCUGCAUGGCUGUCGUCAGCUCGUGUCGUGAGAUGUUGGUUAAGUCCCGUAACGAGCGCAACCCUUGUCCUUAGUUACCAGCACGUUAUGGUGGGCACUCUAAGGAGACUGCCGGUGACAAACCGGAGGAAGGUGGGGAUGGCGUCAAGUCAUCAUGGCCCUUACGGCCUGGGCUACACACGUGCUACAAUGGUCGGUACAAAGGGUUGCCAAGCCGCGAGGUGGAGCUAAUCCCAUAAAACCGAUCGUAGUCCGGAUCGCAGUCUGCAACUCGACUGCGUGAAGUCGGAAUCGCUAGUAAUCGUGAAUCAGAAUGUCACGGUGAAUACGUUCCCGGGCCUU
rnacentral:rRNA from 1 species